rnacentral:rRNA from 1 species
CGUACACUCCUACGGGAGGCAGCAGUGGGGAAUAUUGCACAAUGGGCGCAAGCCUGAUGCAGCCAUGCCGCGUGUAUGAAGAAGGCCUUCGGGUUGUAAAGUACUUUCAGCGGGGAGGAAGGCGAUAAGGUUAAUAACCUUGUCGAUUGACGUUACCCGCAGAAGAAGCACCGGCUAACUCCGUGCCAGCAGCCGCGGUAAUACGGAGGGUGCAAGCGUUAAUCGGAAUUACUGGGCGUAAAGCGCACGCAGGCGGUCUGUCAAGUCGGAUGUGAAAUCCCCGGGCUCAACCUGGGAACUGCAUUCGAAACUGGCAGGCUAGAGUCUUGUAGAGGGGGGUAGAAUUCCAGGUGUAGCGGUGAAAUGCGUAGAGAUCUGGAGGAAUACCGGUGGCGAAGGCGGCCCCCUGGACAAAGACUGACGCUCAGGUGCGAAAGCGUGGGGAGCAAACAGGAUGAGAUACCCCUGUAGUCCCAUGAU